rnacentral:rRNA from 1 species
UACGGGGGGGAGCAGUCGUUGUCGGAAUUACUGGGCGUAAAGGGCUCGUAGGCGGCCAACUAAGUCAGACGUGAAAUCCCCGGGCUCAACCUGGGAACUGCAUUUGUGACUGCAUCGCUGGAGUACGGCAGAGGGGGAUGGAAUUCCGCGUGUAGCAGUGAAAUGCGUAGAUAUGCGGAGGAACACCGAUGGCGAAGGCAAUCCCCUGGGCCUGUACUGACGCUCAUGCACGAAAGCGUGGGGAGCAAACAGG